GAUGAACAGCCACACUGGAACUGAGACACGGUCCAGACUCCUACGGGAGGCAGCAGUGGGAAUCUUGCGCAAUGGGCGAAAGCCUGACGCAGCGACGCCGCGUGAGCGAUGAAGGCCUUCGGGUUGUAAAGCUCUGUGGGGAGGAAAGAAUAAGGGUUGGCUAAUAUCCAGCUCGAUGACGGUACCUCCUUAGCAAGCACCGGCUAACUCUGUGCCAGCAGCCGCGGUAAGACAGAGGGUGCAAACGUUGUUCGGAAUUACUGGGCGUAAAGCGCGUGUAGGCGGCUCUGUAAGUCGGAUGUGAAAUCCCACGGCUCAACCAUGGAAGUGCAUUCGAAACUACAGGGCUAGAGUUCUGGAGAGGAAGGUGGAAUGCUUGGUGUAGAGGUGAAAUUCGUAGAUAUCAAGCGGAACACCGGUGGCGAAGGCGGCCUUCUGGACAGUAACUGACGCUGAGACGCGAAAGCGUGUGGAGCAAACAGGAUUAGAUACCCUGGUAGUCCACGCCGUAAACGAUGAGUGCUAGGUGUCACGGGCUUUGACCCUCGUGGUGCCGAAGCUAACGCGUUAAGCACUCCGCCUGGGGAGUACGGUCGCAAGACUAAAACUCAAAGAAAUUGACGGGGGCCCGCACAAGCGGUGGAGCAUGUUGUUUAAUUCGACGCAACGCGAAGAACCUUACCUGGGCUAGAAAGUACAGGAAGUCGGUCGAAAGGUCGAUGUGCCCUUCGGGGAACCUGUGGUUAGGUGCUGCAUGGCUGUCGUCAGCUCGUGUCGUGAGAUGUUGGGUUAAGUCCCGCAACGAGCGCAACCCCUGUUGUUAGUUGCCAGCAUUAAGUUGGGCACUCUAACAAGACUGCCGACCUUUAAGUCGGAGGAAGGUGGGGAUGACGUCAAGUCAUCAUGGCCCUUAUGUCCAGGGCUACAAACGUGCUACAAUGGUCGAUACAAAGGGUUGCGAACCCGCGAGGGGGAGCCAAUCUCAAAAAGUCGACCUCAGUACAGAUAGGAGUCUGCAACUCGACUCCUUGAAGUCGGAAUCGCUAGUAAUCGCUGAUCAGCAUGGCAGCGGUGAAUACGUUCCCGGGCCUUGUACACACCGCCCGUCACACCAUGGGAGUCGAUUGCUCCAGAAGUGCCUGAGCCAACCGCAAGGAGGCAGGGCCCCAAGGAGUGAUCGGUAACUGGGGUGAAGUCGUAACAAGGUA
rnacentral:rRNA from 1 species